AAAUUGAAGAGUUUGAUCAUGGCUCAGAUUGAACGCUGGCGGCAGGCCUAACACAUGCAAGUCGAGCGGAAACGAGUUAACUGAACCUUCGGGGAACGUUAACGGCGUCGAGCGGCGGACGGGUGAGUAAUGCCUAGGAAAUUGCCCUGAUGUGGGGGAUAACCAUUGGAAACGAUGGCUAAUACCGCAUAAUGCCUUCGGGCCAAAGAGGGGGACCUUCGGGCCUCUCGCGUCAGGAUAUGCCU
rnacentral:rRNA from 1 species